rnacentral:misc_RNA from 1 species
AAUAAGUGUUUUACUGCACUUUUUAAAAAUAGUACUCACCUUGUGUGCAAUGUUGUGUUUCUUUUCGGAGAAACACCUACACCAACCUAUAACCUUGAACCAUUUUGUCUGAAAAAUAUUAUGAAUAAAACAAUUCAAAAUACAACUUUCAACAACGGAUCUCUUGGCUCU